rnacentral:misc_RNA from 1 species
AUAACAGCAGUCAAUCAGGUUCCUUCCAUCAUGUUGACAAGGAAGGUUGUGGAUCGCAAUCAGGAGAAGAAGGGAGUUCAUGCAAAAGUGCAAUGUAUAAAGCUUAUAAUUCACAUCCAAUAACUGCUCCUUCUCCUCUAACUGGAUUACCUGAGUUUUCUCACUUGGGUUGGGGCCACUGGUUUACAUUGAGAGAUCUUGAGCUUGCAACAGGCCGGUUUUCAAAGGAGAAUAUUCUCGGUGAGGGUGGAUAUGGCAUUGUCUACCGGGGGAAUUUGAUUAAUGGAACACCUGUAGCUAUUAAGAAGCUCCUCAACAAUCUAGGCCAAGCUGAGAAAGAGUUCCAAGUGGAGGUUGAAGCCAUUGGCCACGUGCGUCACAAAAAUUUGGUCCGCCUUCUAGGAUACUGCAUUGAAGGAACUCACAGGAUGCUGGUUUACGAGUAUGUCAACAAUGGCAAUUUGGAACAGUGGCUUCAUGGAGCUAUGCGACACCACGGGUAUCUCACUUGGGAGG